rnacentral:rRNA from 1 species
GGGCGGCGUGCUUACACAUGCAAGUCGAACGAUGAACCACUUCGGUGGGGAUUAGUGGCGAACGGGUGAGUAACACGUGGGCAAUCUGCCCUUCACUCUGGGACAAGCCCUGGAAACGGGGUCUAAUACCGGAUACGACACUCUCGGGCAUCCGAUGAGUGUGGAAAGCUCCGGCGGUGAAGGAUGAGCCCGCGGCCUAUCAGCUUGUUGGUGAGGUAACGGCUCACCAAGGCGACGACGGGUAGCCGGCCUGAGAGGGCGACCGGCCACACUGGGACUGAGACACGGCCCAAACUCCUACGGGAGGCAGCAGUGGGGAAUAUUGCACAAUGGGCGAAAGCCUGAUGCAGCGACCCCCCGUGAGGGAUGACGGCCUUCGGGUUGUAAACCUCUUUCAGCAGGGAAGAAGCGAAAGUGACGGUACCUGCAGAAAGAAGCGCCGGGCUAACUACGUGCCAGCAGCCGCGGUAAUACGUAGGGCGCGAGCGUUGUCCGGAAAUUAUUGGGCGUAAAGAGCUCGUAGGCGGUCUGUCGCGUCGGAUGUGAAAGCCCGGGGCUUAACCCCGGGUCUGCAUUCGAUACGGGCAGACUAGAGUGUGGUAGGGGAGAUCGGAAUUCCUGGUGUAGCGGUGAAAUGCGCAGAUAUCAGGAGGAACACCGGUGGCGAAGGCGGAUCUCUGGGCCAUUACUGACGCUGAGGAGCGAAAGCGUGGGGAGCGAACAGGAUUAGAUACCCUGGUAGUCCACGCCGUAAACGGUGGGAACUAGGUGUUGGCGACAUUCCACGUCGUCGGUGCCGCAGCUAACGCAUUAAGUUCCCCGCCUGGGGAGUACGGCCGCAAGGCUAAAACUCAAAGGAUUUGACGGGGGCCCGCACAAGCAGCGGAGCAUGUGGCUUAAUUCGACGCAACGCGAAGAACUUUACCAAGGCUUGACAUACACCGGAAACGGCCAGAGAUGGUCGCCCCCUUGUGGUCGGUGUACAGGUGGUGCAUGGCUGUCGUCAGCUCGUGUCGUGAGAUGUUGGGUUAAGUCCCGCAACGAGCGCAACCCUUGUUCUGUGUUGCCAGCAUGCCCUUCGGGGUGAUGGGGACUCACAGGAGACUGCCGGGGUCAACUCGGAGGAAGGUGGGGACGACGUCAAGUCAUCAUGCCCCUUAUGUCUUGGGCUGCACACGUGCUACAAUGGCAGGUACAAUGAGCUGCGAAGCCGUGAGGCGGAGCGAAUCUCAAAAAGCCUGUCUCAGUUCGGAUUGGGGUCUGCAACUCGACCCCAUGAAGUCGGAGUUGCUAGUAAUCGCAGAUCAGCAUUGCUGCGGUGAAUACGUUCCCGGGCCUUGUACACACCGCCCGUCACGUCACGAAAGUCGGUAACACCCGAAGCCGGUGGCCCAACCCGUAAGGGAGGGAGCUGUCGAAGGUGGGACUGGCGAUUGGGACGAAGUCGUAAC